rnacentral:lncRNA from 1 species
AUGGAUGAUGCGAUGAAGAAACAUCUUGCACAACUAAAGAAAAAGAUUAUCUAACUCAUCAAGAUCAUCUUCAGAUUAGUGAUACCUUCAGUGCGAGCACAAGUGCUAAUAACUCCACUUGUGAAACUGUCUCUAGUAUUUGGAGAAGAAGAUCCUCCAUCCAGUAAGAAGGAUAAACAAUAUAGAGAUACAAAAAAUCUCUCUUUAGUUAUUUAGAGU